AUCAAGUUUGCCUGGGGCAAGGCCAUCUCAGUUGCUGCUGCCUUUUCUUCUCUGUCCCUUACUCCCGACAUCCAGGAAACAGCUUCAGUGACUUGCUUCCAGUGGCCUAGAGCAAACAUCCACCUCAGCUUCUGCCACUUAUUCCAAAGCGACUGAAUGCCUCAGUGUCUCCACAUUUUUUCAUCUUAUGCACAUGAGUGUUU
rnacentral:lncRNA from 1 species